CAAGCGUUUAAUAUAUUAAUAUAUGUAUAUGUAUGUGCGUAUGUAUAUAUAUAUAAUAUGCAUAUAUGUAUAUAUAUAUAUACAUAUGCAUAUGCAUAUUACAUAAUCAUUAUAUCGUUCAUUUAGUCAUUCAGUUGGUUCUAUUUGGAACCGAGUGGAUUUGUGUCAAAUAUCUUCGUCAGUGUUUCGAUAAUAUAUUUAUUUUUAUUCUGGAAUUUAACUCCACUUUAUAGUAUUUCUUAAUAUAAUCUCGCGAUUCUUUUAUAUUUUUAGUCUUUAUGCUGGCAUCUUAUUUUUUUUUUUUUUUGUUCUUGUAAAAUUAUGAUUGUACUGGGAAGUACAUGAUCGAUGUCUGUGCGUGUGUGUAUGCGUGAAUGGACGCGCGUAUGAGUGUAUGUGUGUGUGUACAUAUAUAUAUUUAUAUUUAUAUAUAUUAUAUAUAUAUAUACACACAUAUAUAUAUAUGAAAGAAAGAAAGAGAAAGAGGAGCGUCGUUUUAUUGGAUGCAGAAUUCGAAUUCGCCGUUUCCUCCCACAAAAGAUAUUCCAUUUUAUUAAAUAUUUUGAAUCGGUGAAACGAGAUUCAUCAAGUGCCACAUUAUUUAAUUUUUUUCGAGGCUGAAUAUUUUUUCGUAAUAUUCCUAUAAUUAUUAUGAUAUUCUCGUCCCUUGUACCUUUUUCCGAUAUAAUAAUCUCGUCGAUCCAGAGAUAAACGAAAUAAAAAUAAAAAAGGAAGAAAAGAAUAAGAAGAAGAAAAAAAAAAAGGAAUGAAAAAACUCACCCACUGAUUUUUCAGUUUUUCUGGUACAAUCGGCGACAGCAUUAGUGAUUCGUUGUAUAUAUAGAGCGGUAGUAAUUGUUAUGUAGGUAAAUGGCUGGUGUUGUAUACACAUUCGUUCUUUUCCCUAAUUAUUCGAAUUAUCUUGUAACCUGUAACCAUAACUCGGAGCGUUGAGCGGACGGCGCUCAAUAAAAAUUUGUCGUACGCUGUCGUUGUAUGCGAAUGAAAAUGGCAAAAGCGAGAUGACGAUAACGUUCUGUAAAUAUAUAGGAGUGCCUGAAACCACGUUGAGAGUGAAUGAGAUACAGAGAGAGAAAGAGGGAGAAAAAGCGAGAGAAAGAGAAAUGGAGAGUGGCAAAUACUUUUCCAGCGGUGCAAGAACAAAUGAAUGAAGCCGUUGAAAAAGCAAUCACAGAAUAAGAGGGGGAAAAAAAAAAAGGAGAAAAAAAGAACAGAAUAAGAUUAUUCUUUGCUCCUUGGCGCGUUGCGAUCAAACCUGAUCGAUUUUGCAAAUUAGAUCAAAGGGAAAAAAAGAAGAUUAAACGAUGUGUGAAGCUAGUGAUCGUAUGCACAAAAUCAGCUGUUGCUUUUUAAGGAAAUCUAAUUUUUUUAUUUACUUAUUAAUUACAAUGAGAGCUUUUUUAGGAGUUAUUUUUAACAAUUUGACGAUUGGACCUCAAAUGGACUCUCAAAUGUAUGCGACAAAUCAUCAUAUUUGGAUUAACGCGAAAAUGCAAAUCCUGUAUCCUUGAACAAGUAUUCCUGCUUUUUGUUCUUGACUAAUGUAGAUAUCGUAGCAAUCAUCAUUCUCGUGGGAUUGCUUACUUUAUCGUCGCUAUAUAGCGAGAAUUACGGGCUCACGUGUAACAAGUAAAUUGUUCGGGCAGCCAUUUUGAAAAUUGAUGUUUGCCAACACAGUCGUUCGUCGUAUAGAAAAUUAAUUCUUGUCUAGUUAACCGUGUGGAUCGAUUAAAUGUUUGAAUAGCAAUAUUUUACGAGUAUUACAAAAUCAAAUGCGCUAAUGUUUUCUUCUACCUAAUAAUAUCUAACAGUAAAUCCUCGUCAAUAAUUCAAAAACGUCAAUGCGUUAUCAGCUUCCACACGAUGUUAUUCAACAAAUAAAAGGAUUUAACGUUGAACAGUAUUAAGUACAAGAAAUUAAAUAUGAAGAAAUGUCUAGGAAUCGUUACCAUCUAAUCAAUAACAAAUGAACGAGGGAGCCCGUAAUUUAUCCUUUCUUUCAUCAUCCGCUCUUCCCUUCGAUUGUUCAUUUCCUAUUAAUUUUUUCAUUACGUUAUUUCAGUAUUUUUCCACACAGCGCUUAGUUCCUGAGAGCCUUCGCGCCAAGGUAGUCAUUUCUCAUUUUCAUAAGGGAGUGGAGCACGGACGAGGCGUCGAUCGAUUUACCGCAUUUUUGCACUAUUUUUUCAAUCUGUAAAAAGAUAUUUAUUUGAAAAUAAAUAACUCGAAAAAAAAAACGUUCGGCGCCUCGCGAUCUUCUUAUGUCUGCGUAUUGCGAUCGUAUCCUUUCUUUAUUCUCUGUCAACAUUUCCUUAAUUUAUUCUUCUGCUCAGGUUCAGUCAUGCGAAGCGAAAUGACUAGAAAAAAAAAAAAUGACAUUCACCUCGAAACAGGAUUCCAGUAAAGCUGCUUGUUUCGUUUCACGUAAUAUCCGAAUGGAAAAAUAUAGGUCGAAAAGUAACCUUGAAAUGGACUGACAUACCGUGUCAUUGCAAUCGUCGAGUUUCGAAUUAUUAUGCAUUAACCGGUCCAUGGAAAUUGUUGACACUUAUCUCAGACGGUUAAUUGAUUGAAAAAUUUGCAUAGAUCCCUUGCAGUAUUAGAAGUUUCACAUAUCUUUUCAAGACGAGUACAAAAGCCCGAAUACAAAUUUUAUAAAGGAGAAAAUUCUGCAAAUAAUUAUCUGAUACUUGUUUAAUAAAAUGAUUAUUUAUAAUAAGAUCGAAUGUAAUUGCAUCCAGUUGAAAAAUUUAUAUCGAUGAAAUAUAUGUCGAUGAAAAAUAUUUCGUCACAUCGGCAAAUGCAUAAAACAAGUGAAACUCGUUGAUGAAGAAAGUAUUGUCGGUAAUCUCAAGGCAACCCGGUCAAAGAAUAUUGUUUUUCGGUUGGUCAAGAUAUACCAAGAUUUGAAAUGCACUUUUAUAUAUAUAUAUACAUAUACAUAUAUAUAUAUAUAUAUAUAUAUAUAUAUAUAUAAUGAUUUCAUCGGUAACUUACAUCAUUAUGUCUGUAUAAGAAAAAGAAAGAUUCGAAGGACUAAUUUCUAUGAAACACGUGUGUCUGAUGUUUCAUUAGACUUAUUUUGUAACGUGAUAGUCAAGCCGGUCUUCAUGCUUCCAAAAAUGUCAGAACGUGAAAUGAACGUUAUUAUACAAGUCAUUUUCUGAGAAGUUAAAAUUUCGAAAGUUCAAGGUAAAGCGUUUCUCCCGUAUUAAUUUUUUUUUUAAUAAUUCCAACAAUCGAUACUUAGAAAUUUAUUAGAAAUUAUGUAGAAAUUGCAUUCCUUUCUCUAUUUCUUUUCUUCCUUCCUUUGUUUCUUUAAUCCUCUAGAUUUUCAAAAUAAUGUCUUAUUUGUAUGGAUGUUUUUUGAGGCUUCUUGUGCACGUCUUUGAUUCCAUUAUCCGGCAGAUAUUAACGUUGUGAUAUUUUAUAAUAUUGUAACGGAACUCGUUAUCACUUCUGUAUUAUAUUACAUGAAUGAUAUUAUUUUAUAAUUAUUUCGGAACUGGCUUCUGGAACACUGCGGGAAAAUGCGGCUCUCCGGCGACCUGAAUGGUCCCUUUCUUUUUUUUUUUUUUUUUUUUUUUUGUUUGUUUUUUAUUUAUAAUUGUUGACGUUUUGUCUGAUUCUUAUUUUGUGAAAUGGAUGCGAAACUAUCAUGUGCUGAUAAUACUUUGAAAAUCAAAAAAAAAAAAAAAAAAAAAAAAAA